rnacentral:rRNA from 1 species
CUGACGAGUGGCGGACGGGUGAGUAAUGUCUGGGAAACUGCCUGAUGGAGGGGGAUAACUACUGGAAACGGUAGCUAAUACCGCAUAACGUCGCAAGACCAAAGAGGGGGACCCUCGGGCCUCUUGCCAUCGGAUGUGCCCAGAUGGGAUUAGCUUGUUGGUGGGGUAACGGCCCACCAAGGCGACGAUCAGUAGCCGGUCUGAGAGGAUGAACGGCCACACUGGAACUGAGACACGGUCCAGACUCCUACGGGAGGCAGCAUG